AUUGAACGCUGGCGGCAGGCCUAACACAUGCAAGUCGAGCGAGCGGCGGACGGGUGAGUAAUGUAUGUGGAUCUGCCCGAUAGAGGGGGAUAACUACUGGCAACGGUGGCUAAUACCGCAUAAUAUCGGAUGACCCCAUAUGGGAUUGGCUAGUAGGUGGGGUAAAGGCUCACCUAGGCGACGAUCUCUAGCUGGUCUGAGAGGAUGAUCAGCAACACUGGGACGGAGACACGGACAAGACUCCUACGGGAGGCAGAAGUGGGGAAUAUUGCACAAUGGGCACAAGCCUGAAGCAGCCAUGCCGCGAGUAUGAAGAAGCCCUUAGGGUUGUAAAGGACUUUCAGCGGGGAGGCGUUACCCGCAGAAGAAGCACCGGCUAACUCCGUGCCAGCAGCCGCGGUAAUAC
rnacentral:rRNA from 1 species